rnacentral:rRNA from 1 species
AAACGUAGGGUGCAAGCGUUAAUCGGAAUUACUGGGCGUAAAGCGUGCGCAGGCGGUUUUGUAAGACCGUGGUGCAAUCCCCGGGCUCAAACUGGGAACUGCCAUUGUGACUGCAAGGCUGGAGUGCGGCACGGGGGGAUGGAAUUCCGCGUGUACCAGUGAAAUGCGUAGAUAUGCGGAGGAACACCGAUGGCGCAGGCGUUCCCCUGGACCUGCACUGACGCGCAUGCACGAAAGCGGGGGGAGCAAACAGGAUUAGAUACCCUGGUAGUCCACGCCCUAAACUAUGUCAACGGGUGGUUGGGGAUUUAUUUUCUCAGUAACGAAGCUAACGCGUGAAGUUGACCGCCUGGGGAGUACGGCCGCAAGGUUAAAGCUUAAAGUAAUUGACGGGG